UACAGAGGGUGCGAGCGUUUGUCCGGAAUCACUGGGCGUAAAGGGCGCGUAGGUGGCGGCCCAAGUCCAUGGUGAAAGCUCGAUGCUCAACAUCGAGUCGGCCACGGAUACUGGGUUGCUCGAGCACUGGUAGGGGCAGAUGGAAUUCCGGGUGUAGCGGUGGAAUGCGUAGAGAUCCGGAAGAACACCGGUGGCGAAGGCGGGUCUGCUGGG
rnacentral:rRNA from 1 species